rnacentral:rRNA from 1 species
CCGCACAAGCGGUGGAGCAUGUGGUUUAAUUCGAAGCAACGCGAAGAACCUUACCAGGUCUUGACAUCCUCUGACAAUCCUAGAGAUAGGACGUCCCCUUCGGGGGCAGAGUGACAGGUGGUGCAUGGUUGUCGUCAGCUCGUGUCGUGAGAUGUUGGGUUAAGUCCCGCAACGAGCGCAACCCUUGAUCUUAGUUGCCAGCAUUCAGUUGGGCACUCUAAGGUGACUGCCGGUGACAAACCGGAGGAAGGUGGGGAUGACGUCAAAUCAUCAUGCCCCUUAUGACCUGGGCUACACACGUGCUACAAUGGACAGAACAAAGGGCAGCGAAACCGCGAGGUUAAGCCAAUCCCACAAAUCUGUUCUCAGUUCGGAUCGCAGUCUGCAACUCGACUGCGUGAAGCUGGAAUCGCUAGUAAUCGCGGAU